GUUCUGAUGACCUGUGACCUCUGAAAUGACCUUUGCCCUCACACUGAGUUCACAGGGACAUACUUGUUUCUCUGAAUGUUUCAGCUCUGUCACUGAAUCAAGAGAAAACCUGCAGUCUGAACCAGAGACUCACACAGAAUGAAAAAGACAUGAUUUCCAGAUUUGUAAAGAAGUGAGAACACACAGCACUGGAUCAUGAGACUAAAACAGGUUUAGAGGCUCAGGUUUCAUCUGCAUGUGGGGAUGUUCAUGUCUGUUUUCCUCCAGGAGGGUUUUUCCACAGAGAGUCACUUUGCAUCAGCACAUGCUUCAGCGCUCCGAGUGUUUAUAGCGUUCAGACUCAACACUUUAUAACACACUGCUGUUUACCACGGUACAAAACCAACAAACACAAUGAAUCUCUUCAGCAGCUUCAUCUGGAUUCUGGCAGCUUUUAUUCCAGCAUCCAGAGGAAUCACUGUGACUCAGCCUGAAGCUGUGACUGUUUCUGAACGACAAGACGCCACGAUAGAGUGUAAAACUGAUCCUGGAAUAUUUAGCUGGGGUUUAGCUUGGUAUCAGCAGAAACCUGGAGAAGCUCCUAAACUCAUCAUUUAUGGUGUAAACGAUCGCUACAGUAACAGUUUCAGUCGAUUCAGUGGGAAUGGAGCACAAGGUGGGACUGAUUUCACUCUGACCAUCAGUGGAGUCCAGACUGAAGAUGUUGCACAUUAUUACUGUCAGAGUGUACACAUCACAGACAGUAACUUGAUGUUCACACAGUGA